UACGGAGGGUGCAAGCGUUACCCGGAAUCACUGGGCGUAAAGGGCGUGUAGGCGGUUUGGCUAGUCCGGCUUUAAAGACAGGGGCUCAACCCCUGGGAUGGGUUGGAUACUGCCAAACUUGAUUCCUGGAGAGGUAAGUGGAAUUUCUGGUGUAGCGGUGGAAUGCGUAGAUACCAGAAGGAACACCAAUGGCGAAGGCAGCUUACUGGACAGAGAAUGACGCUGAGGCGCGAAAGUGUGGGGAGCAAACCGG
rnacentral:rRNA from 1 species